AAUAAGGUGGCUGAGUUGUAGGCAAUAGAUUGUAAAUCUAAUUACGAGUAUUAAUCUCUCUUAUUA
rnacentral:tRNA from 2 species